rnacentral:rRNA from 1 species
UACGUAGGGGGCAAGCGUUAUCCGGAAUUAUUGGGCGUAAAGAGUGCGUAGGUGGUCUUGUAAGCGUGGGGUGAAAGGCAGUGGCUUAACCAUUGUAAGCCCUGCGAACUGUGAGACUUGAGUGCAGGAGAGGAAAGCGGAAUUCCUAGUGUAGCGGUGAAAUGCGUAGAUAUUAGGAGGAACACCAGUGGCGAAGGCGGCUUUCUGGACUGUAACUGACACUGAGGCACGAAAGCGUGGGGAGCAAACAGGAUUAGAUACCCUGGUAGUCCACGCCGUAAACGAUGAGCACUAGGUGUCGGGGUCGCAAGACUUCGGUGCCGCAGUUAACGCAUUAAGUGCUCCGCCUGGGGAGUACGCACGCAAGUGUGAA